CAACAGUGGUGUAGUGGUUAUCAUACUCUCUUAGGGUGAUCUAACAUCUUGAGCUUUGCCUCCAACUGUCUUCGGACAGCGAUUGGGAGUGGCCCCGGGUUCAAAUCCCGGCGAGGA
rnacentral:tRNA from 1 species